rnacentral:rRNA from 1 species
CGGUAGCCACGGGAAUACGUAGGGUGCAAGCGUUAAUCGGAAUUACUGGGCGUAAAGCGUGCGCAGGCGGUUGUGUAAGACAGGUGUGAAAUCCCCGGGCUUAACCUGGGAAUUGCAUUUGUGACUGCACGACUAGAGUGUGUCAGAGGGGGGUGGAAUUCCACGUGUAGCAGUGAAAUGCGUAGAUAUGUGGAGGAACACCAAUGGCGAAGGCAGCCCCCUGGGAUAACACUGACGCUCAUGCACGAGAGCGUGGGGAGCAAACAGGAUUAGAUACCCCGGUAGUCCCUGUCUCUUAUAA